rnacentral:rRNA from 1 species
AAUUAUUAUUAGAUUUUUAAAUAAUUAUUCACGAAAUAAAUUGAGCUAAAUUUUUGGUAUUUUUGGAAAUUAUAACUAUAUGUUACAAAAUAUAUUAACUAAAUAGAUUUAGGGGUGAAAGGCCUAUCAAAUUUUAUGAUAUCUUGAAGUAUAUAAAAUAUAUCAAGUAUUUUCUAAUUCAACUAUUGAAUGUUUAGGUUCAAUAGUAACAUUAUAUUUUUUUAAAAAUUGUUCAAUUUUUUUAAGUAAAAUUGAGUUAGAGCAUAAAAUAUACAUCAAAUUUUUAUUAUAUGAAUAUAAAUAUACUACGGUUAUUAAUAAAUAUAAUCAUAUAUAAUGUAAUUAUUAGUAAUAGUUUAUUAAACUAUAUAAAGGAAUUCGGCAAGAAAAUUUUUCACCUGUUUAUCAAAAACAUAGCUUAUUGAAUAUCAUAAUAAGUAACCCCUGCUCAAUGGAAAUCUAAAUAGCCGCAGUACCUUGACUGUGCAAAGGUAGCAUAAUCAAUUGGCUUAUAAUUGAAGUCUGGAAUGAAUGGGUAAUCUGGAAAAUAACUGUCUUUAUUUGUAGUAUUUUGAAUUUACUUAUAAAGUGAAAAUACUUUAAUAUAAAUAUAAGACGAGAAGACCCUAGAAAUUUUUUGUUAAUAACUUUUGUUGGGGCGACAGGGUAACAUAUAAACUUACUUACAUUUAUAUAAAUCUUAUAAGAUACGUAACUAAAUUACUCUAGGGAUAACAGCAUAAUAUAUAAAAGUUUAUGACCUCGAUGUUGGACUAGGUAAUUAAAUAUUUAAAAGAUAUCUUAAUUUGCUCUGUUCGAGCAGUACCACCUACAU